AAGAACCUGAAACCGUGUACGUACAAGCAGUGGGAGCCUCUUUUAUGGGGUGACUGCGUACCUUUUGUAUAAUGGGUCAGCGACUUAUAUUCUGUAGCAAGGUUAACCGAAUAGGGGAGCCGAAGGGAAACCGAGUCUUAACUGGGCGUUAAGUUGCAGGGUAUAGACCCGAAACCCGGUGAUCUAGCCAUGGGCAGGUUGAAGGUUGGGUAACACUAACUGGAGGACCGAACCGACUAAUGUUGAAAAAUUAGCGGAUGACUUGUGGCUGGGGGUGAAAGGCCAAUCAAACCGGGAGAUAGCUGGUUCUCCCCGAAAGCUAUUUAGGUAGCGCCUCGUGAAUUCAUCUCCGGGGGUAGAGCACUGUUUCGGCAAGGGGGUCAUCCCGACUUACCAACCCGAUGCAAACUGCGAAUACCGGAGAAUGUUAUCACGGGAGACACACGGCGGGUGCUAACGUCCGUCGUGAAGAGGGAAACAACCCAGACCGCCAGCUAAGGUCCCAAAGUCAUGGUUAAGUGGGAAACGAUGUGGGAAGGCCCAGACAGCCAGGAUGUUGGCUUAGAAGCAGCCAUCAUUUAAAGAAAGCGUAAUAGCUCACUGGUCGAGUCGGCCUGCGCGGAAGAUGUAACGGGGCUAAACCAUGCACCGAAGCUGCGGCAGCGACGCUUAUGCGUUGUUGGGUAGGGGAGCGUUCUGUAAGCCUGUGAAGGUGUGCUGUGAGGCAUGCUGGAGGUAUCAGAAGUGCGAAUGCUGACAUAAGUAACGAUAAAGCGGGUGAAAAGCCCGCUCGCCGGAAGACCAAGGGUUCCUGUCCAACGUUAAUCGGGGCAGGGUGAGUCGACCCCUAAGGCGAGGCCGAAAGGCGUAGUCGAUGGGAAACAGGUUAAUAUUCCUGUACUUGGUGUUACUGCGAAGGGGGGACGGAGAAGGCUAUGUUGGCCGGGCGACGGUUGUCCCGGUUUAAGCGUGUAGGCUGGUUUUCCAGGCAAAUCCGGAAAAUCAAGGCUGAGGCGUGAUGACGAGGCACUACGGUGCUGAAGCAACAAAUGCCCUGCUUCCAGGAAAAGCCUCUAAGCAUCAGGUAACAUCAAAUCGUACCCCAAACCGACACAGGUGGUCAGGUAGAGAAUACCAAGGCGCUUGAGAGAACUCGGGUGAAGGAACUAGGCAAAAUGGUGCCGUAACUUCGGGAGAAGGCACGCUGAUAUGUAGGUGAAGUCCCUUGCGGAUGGAGCUGAAAUCAGUCGAAGAUACCAGCUGGCUGCAACUGUUUAUUAAAAACACAGCACUGUGCAAACACGAAAGUGGACGUAUACGGUGUGACGCCUGCCCGGUGCCGGAAGGUUAAUUGAUGGGGUCAGCGCAAGCGAAGCUCUUGAUCGAAGCCCCGGUAAACGGCGGCCGUAACUAUAACGGUCCUAAGGUAGCGAAAUUCCUUGUCGGGUAAGUUCCGACCUGCACGAAUGGCGUAAUGAUGGCCAGGCUGUCUCCACCCGAGACUCAGUGAAAUUGAACUCGCUGUGAAGAUGCAGUGUACCCGCGGCAAGACGGAAAGACCCCGUGAACCUUUACUAUAGCUUGACACUGAACAUUGAGCCUUGAUGUGUAGGAUAGGUGGGAGGCUUUGAAGUGUGGACGCCAGUCUGCAUGGAGCCGACCUUGAAAUACCACCCUUUAAUGUUUGAUGUUCUAACGUGGACCCGUGAUCCGGGUUGCGGACAGUGUCUGGUGGGUAGUUUGACUGGGGCGGUCUCCUCCUAAAGAGUAACGGAGGAGCACGAAGGUUGGCUAAUCCUGGUCGGACAUCAGGAGGUUAGUGCAAUGGCAUAAGCCAGCUUGACUGCGAGCGUGACGGCGCGAGCAGGUGCGAAAGCAGGUCAUAGUGAUCCGGUGGUUCUGAAUGGAAGGGCCAUCGCUCAACGGAUAAAAGGUACUCCGGGGAUAACAGGCUGAUACCGCCCAAGAGUUCAUAUCGACGGCGGUGUUUGGCACCUCGAUGUCGGCUCAUCACAUCCUGGGGCUGAAGUAGGUCCCAAGGGUAUGGCUGUUCGCCAUUUAAAGUGGUACGCGAGCUGGGUUUAGAACGUCGUGAGACAGUUCGGUCCCUAUCUGCCGUGGGCGCUGGAGAACUGAGGGGGGCUGCUCCUAGUACGAGAGGACCGGAGUGGACGCAUCACUGGUGUUCGGGUUGUCAUGCCAAUGGCACUGCCCGGUAGCUAAAUGCGGAAGAGAUAAGUGCUGAAAGCAUCUAAGCACGAAACUUGCC
rnacentral:rRNA from 1 species